ACCCGCGCCGGGCUCCGCCCCUCGCACUAACGAGCCGCGCGUCCACAGUCCCAGCUGGAGCCGGUCCCGCGAGGCACGCAGGAGACUUACUUGUGGAAAGAAACGGGCUUAUCCUUAUCGUAUCGGUUCUUGCAACCGUAGGCGGAACAGGACUGCACCAUCCUUCCGGUCCUCACUCACUUCACUUCUGCCGCCACGGCAGGCAGCAGAAAAGAGCAGAGCCAUCGCCCGUCUCCCAUCUCCAAGAUGGCGGAGGCAGCUUCAAUCUCACCUCUCGCGAGGAGUUUGUCCCACUGUCUUUGAUUAGCCCCAAGGUCAAAGGCAUCCUUAGACCUUGUGAGAAUCUAGGUGACAGAUUUUUAACAGAGAAACCACACACACAACACUCCUCCCUCCAUACCCUGCCGAAUCCUCCCUGGUCUCGGUGAGCCGCUCCACUGCAGCUUCCCAAGCAAACCCGCUUCUGAAGGCUGUUGCUACAGUAAUCUCCAGGUGCUGUGUUGGAAAUCGCGAAGUGCUGCAGCGAUUUUCUCAUUGAAGAAUGGUUUUACCUUCCUUGCUUCCUGCUCCUCUCCUUUAUGUAGAUCAGGGCCUGAAAACCUAGAAAACAGGUUGAGUAAUUUCAUGGCUCUUAAUACGCUCUUCUAAAAUGGUGUUUCUCAAGGUUCCAUCCUCUGCCCUCCUCUCUAAACACUCUGCUCCUUCACUUCAGUCAGAUGCCACGACUUCCUAAAUAUUGUAUUUCUUAAGUAAAUCUGUUCUGCUUUCAGUAGUCUUAUCAUCUGUGAGUUACCUAUUCAGUUGCUGGAGCCAGAAACCUUGGAGUCAUCUUGGAUUUCUUUCUCAUCCUCCACAUCCCUUUGAUCAACAAGUAAAUUCUAUCAAAUAAAUAAAUACCUCUUAAAUCCAUCUUUUUUCAUCUCUCCUCGCACUGGUUCUUGAUCAGGCCCUCAUGGUCUCCUUCCCUUGCUUUUGCAGUAACCUAACUGUCCUAAUCUCCCGUUUUGCCUCUUUUCAGUCCAUCCUCCAUGGAAACUGAUAGGUCAUUCCCCUGCUCACAUCCUUCAGCUGCUACCCUGUGCAUGAACUGAAUGAAAUCCAGACUUAGGUGGACACAUAGUGCUUUAGGACCAGACAAUUCCUUCCCUGACCAACCAGCUUUGGCAAGCGUAUGAUUUCUACCACUAUUCCUUUACCCUGUCUGGAGUUUAUCAUGUAAACAGAAUUGUGAAAUAUCUGCACUUUUUAUAUUGCAGUUAUAAACCAUAUGGUAAUUUCUGUGUAUAUCUGUUUUCCUCUCUGUACUGUAAACCCAUUGAGGACAGGGACUGAGUCUUUAAUAAUCUUGUAGCUUGAGUGCCUGGCAAAUAUUAAAUAUUCAGAAAAUUCUGGUUGAAUCAACUGGGCCUAGAAACCAUAAAUCUAAAAUAGUUUCAGGGCCAUAUCCAUAUAUCAAAGCAUCUGAAUAAUAGCUUAUUUCCAGUGGAUAUUGAGACAGGUGGUAAUUUCCUCUGUGGUCUGCUGCACAAUAAAUAUCAGACUGUGAUAAUUGUUUGUGAACUGAAAAAGUAUAUUUUAACUUAGAGUUCACUGAACUCUUUACUCAUCAAUUGAUAAAACAAAUAUUUACUGAACAUCUAUGUUCUAUGCAUAAUUCUAGGGGUUUGGGAUACAUUAGUGAACAAAACGAAGUUUUUUGCCCUUGUGGAGCUAAUGUUUUAGUCGGGGUUGGGGAAGGCAGAGAGGAAACAUAAUAUGGAACCACAUCUGUUAGACGGUGAAAGGUGUUAUGUGGAGGUGAGGGAGUUACAACUUCAUAUACAAUGUACAGGGCAGGCCUCAUUGAGGAAGUGAUAUUUAAACAAAGACUGGGAGUUGAUGAGAGAGCUGAGUGUAUCUGGGGGAAGAACUUUGCAGGCAGAGGGAAUGCCGAAGGCAGUUCAUGAGGCACAGUGUUCCCAAAAUGUUGAAAGAACAGCAAAGAGGCAGUGUAGCUGGAGCCAAGUGGGGAAACAAAUAAGAGAUGAUGUCAGAGAGAAACAGAGGGACAAGAUCACGUAGACCCUUGUAGGCUAGUAUAAGGAGUUUGGCUUUUACCCCGAGGGAAAUGGAAAGCAGGGUUUUGAGCUGAGGUGUGAUACAAUCUUUUGAAGGGUUCUUUACUGUGUUGAGUAUAGACAGCCGGGAAUAACUAGGAGGCUAGGAGACUGGUUAGAAGGCUGCUGUGGCAACGUAGGUGAGACAUAAUGGUGACUUGGGUAGCAGCAAAGGAAUAAGAAGUGGUCUUUCCUUGUCUUCUCCCUCCUUUAUUUCUUUCAUUUACUUAUUACUCUCUAUUUAUUGAGCACCUACUAAGGUGGCAGGUGUUAUGCCAGGUCUGAGAAUAUAUUGGUGAACAAGACAGAGUCUUUAUCUGCAUAGAAUUUAUAUCCUAGUGAGGGGAAAACUGUUGGUAAAAAUAAAUAAACUUUCGGCUGAGAUGCCUGAAUACAUCAGAAUGCUAUAAAGGUAACUUAGGGGAAGGUAGGGUCACUACUUACUUUAGCUGGGAUAGUUAGGAAGUUUGUCUGAGUAGGGAACAUUUAACCUGAGAACCACAGAAUAGAAAAAAAUCCAGUAAUAUAAAGAAUGAAGGGGCAAGGUUUGGGAGAGCAUUCCAGACAGAAGGAAUGUGGUGGAGCACAGUGAGCUGGGGGAAAAGGGCAUGAAAUGAGGUUGAAAAAAUAGGCAAGGGUCUUGGUUUGGAUUUUAAUUUCAGUGGGAAGCCAUUGAAUCAUUUUAAGCAGGGGUGAGACGUGAUCCAAUAAACAUUUUUAAAAAGUCAUUCUGGCUUUUGGCUGGAGGGUUUGUCAGAUGGGGGUAACAGUGCAGGCAAGCAGACCAAUUAGGAGACUUGCAGCGAACAAGAGAACAAAAGGUAAUAGCUUGGACCAAGGUGAUAGCACCAGCGACGGAGCAGUAGGCCUCGAGAGAUAUUUAGGAGAUAGAAAUGCCAGGGUUUGCUGAUAGAUUGUACAUGAGGAAGAGGAAGGAAGGAAAAGGAAUCAAGAUAUCAAGCAUGAUUUUCAGGUUUCUGGCUGAAGUAUUUAGAUGGAUAGAUAGUGGUGCCUUUUACUGAUAUGCAAAUGGCCUUUAGGAAAGAAGAGAGCUUCUUCCCUCAAUAAAAUAGAGGACUUGGAGGGGCAGGAGUAACUUAGGAAGCUGAGUCAACAGCUGUGGUGUUCUAUGACUGGGGAAUAUCAGAAGAGAAAGUAAGUAUAAAGUAGAUCUCAGAGACUGGAAAUGUAAGCUACUAAGUAGGGUGUUACAGUCACAGCCAGUGUUGAGGGCCCUUUUGAGGUCUGUGAUCAUUAAUCAAUUUAAAGUGAAACCAGUCAGUUUUGUCAUACGAUUUCCCCAUAGCCAAGUUCCCUCCUUUGCUUCUUUUUCUACUGUUUUUUUAUCUUCUAGCUAUUCAUAACUUGGAAAUGAAAUAUACAUUGUUAUUUAAUAUAAUUAUAUUCCCUUCAAAAUCGUAAAUUUCUUGCCAUAGUGAAUUACAUGUAUUUUUAAAAAUAUGUAUGUAUUAGAUUGAAUUGAAUGGUGAUUUUCUUCUUUGAAAAAAUCUCCCAAACUAAAUUUUCCUUUGUGUGGUCUGCAAAUUAAUUUAUUUGCUUAAUAUAAAAAUAAUUUCCACUUCCUCUAAACUAACUUAACUGUUGUCUGUUUUUCUUCUUUCUACUUUGUCCAUUGCUUAACAUUUUCUGAGGCCUGAAUAAACUGUUCCUUACCUUUCAAGGGUGAUCAUGGGGAAGCAUUUUUACUUUCAAAGAUGAUCACCCUUGCCUUUUAAAAAAGUUGAUGGAAAUAACCCGAAUGUCCAUUAAUAGUUGAAUGAAUAAAUGUGGUAAAGUCACACAGUGGAAUACUAUACAGCAAUCAAAAUAAAGCAGCUGCUACUGGCAAAAAUGCGGAUGAUUCUUACACAUGAUGUUGAAUGAAAGAAGUCAAACAAAAGAAAAUAUAUGAAUCUAUUCUUGUAAAAUGAAAAAAAAAAAAA